rnacentral:misc_RNA from 1 species
UUUCCGUAGGUGAACCUGCGGAAGGAUCAUUCAUAAUAAGUGUUUUAUGGCACUUUUUUAAAUCCAUAUCCACCUUGUGUGCAAUGUCAGGGUUGGUCUCUUUUUGAUCAGCCCCAAACAUCAACUAUUAUCUCAACUCUUUGUCUGAAAAAUAUUAUGAAUAAAACAAUUCAAAAUACAACUUUCAACAACGGAUCUCUUGGCUCUC